UCCCCGCAGACCACAGCGCUGGGACUCCUGCCUUCCCUGCUAUCUCCCUGAGGCAAGGGGUUGGAGGUUAGCACGGAGUGUUUCUCAAUCAUUUUCCACCUUACAUUUUAAGACAUGGUGUGUCACUGAACCUGGAACUCACCAACUCUGCUAGACUGGUUCUGACAAUUGCUCUAGCACAGAUGAACCUUGAGGGCAUUAAGCCCAGUGAAAUAAGCCAGUGACAAAAAGACAAAUGUUGUGAUCACACUUAAAUAAGGUAAGUAGACUGUUGGUCAAGCUGGUAGGGGCAGAAAGCAGAACGCUAGCCGCUAGGGGAUGUGGGGAGGGCAGAAUGGGCAUUUGUUGUUUAAUGGAUGUAAAGGUUCAGUUUUGCACAAGGAAAAGGUGAGGCUGAGGACAUUGCUCUCUAGCAGAACACUCACCUAGCAUUUCUGAGACCUGAGUUCAGUGUCCAACAGCUCAUGCACAUGCACAUGCACAGGAGAAAGAAGGGAAAGAAGCUACCCUUUUACUUAAAAAAUGUAUUUAUUUUUAUUUUAUGUGUGUGUGCCUGAGUUGCAAGUGCCCACUGAGUGCAGAAGAAAGUGUUGGAUCUCCUGAAACUGGAGUUACAUGUGCUUGUGAGCCACCUGAUGUGCUGAGAGCGGUCCUUAGGCCUCUGCAAUAGCAGCAAGUCCUAUGUAAUGCCUCAUAAUGACUUUUGUUUAGACAGCAAAUUAUCUUUUUAAGAUAUUUACACAAAUAAAAGAUAUUUUGAAAAUUCUUAUAGGGCUCGGGUGUGGCUACAUAAAGCCAUGGGUUCCAUCAUCAGUGCAAGAAGAAAUAAAUGAACUUAUAUUUAUCAAAUGUG
ensembl:processed_transcript